ACUCCUACGGGAGGCAGCAGUGGGAAUAUUGCACAAUGGGCGCAAGCCUGAUGCAGCCAUGCCGCGUGUGUGAAGAAGGCCUUCGGGUUGUAAAGCACUUUCAGCGAGGAGGAAGGGUGUGUGCUAAUACCAUACAUCUGUGACGUUACUCGCAGAAGAAGCACCGGCUAACUCCGUGCCAGCAGCCGCGGUAAUACGGAGGGUGCGAGCGUUAAUCGGAAUUACUGGGCGUAAAGCGUGCGCAGGCGGUUUGUUAAGCGAGAUGUGAAAGCCCGGC
rnacentral:rRNA from 1 species